UACAGAGGGUGCAAGCGUUAAUCGGAAUUACUGGGCGUAAAGCGCGCGUAGGCGGUUUGUUAAGUCGGAUGUGAAAUCCCCGGGCUCAACCUGGGCAUUGCAUCCGAUACUGGCUGACUAGAGUGUGGGAGAGGAAGGUAGAAUUCCAGGUGUAGCGGUGAAAUGCGUAGAGAUCUGGAGGAAUACCGGUGGUGUAAACGGCUUUCUGGACCAUAACUGACGCUGAGGCGCGAAAGCGUGGGUAGCAAACAGG
rnacentral:rRNA from 1 species